rnacentral:rRNA from 1 species
GGCGCACGGGUGAGUAACGCGUGGGUAAUCUACCCUCGAAUCGGGGAUAACGUUGCGAAAGCGACGCUAAUACCGGAUGAUAUCUUGAGAACCUUGGUUUUUUUGAUCAAAGGUGGCCUCUCCAUGGAAGCUACUGUUUGAGGAUGAGCCCGCGUCCCAUUAGCUAGUUGGUAGGGUAACGGCCUACCAAGGCAACGAUGGGUAGCUGGUCUGAGAGGAUGAUCAGCCACACUGGAACUGACACACGGUCCAGACUCCUACGGGAGGCAGCAGUGAGGAAUUUUGCGCAAUGGGGGAAACCCUGACGCAGCAACGCCGCGUGAGUGAUGAAGGCUUUCGGGUCGUAAAGCUCUGUCAAGUGGGAAGAACUCCCGUGGGGAUAAUACCCUCAUGGUUUGACGGUACCACUGAAGGAAGCACCGGCUAACUCCGUGCCAGCAGCCGCGGUAAUACGGGGGGUGCAAGCGUUAUUCGGAAUCAUUGGGCGUAAAGAGCACGUAGGCGGCUUGGUAAGUCAGAUGUGAAAGCCCGGGGCUUAACCCCGGAAGUGCAUUUGAUACUGUCAAGCUUGAGUAUGGGAGAGGGAAGUGGAAUUCCUGGUGUAGAGGUGAAAUUCGUAGAUAUCAGGAGGAACACCGGUGGCGAAGGCGACUUCCUGGACCAAUACUGACGCUGAGGUGCGAAAGGCGUGGGUAGCAAACAGGAUUAGAUACCCUGGUAGUCCACGCAGUAAACGUUGUUCACUA